AUGCACGCCACCAUCACUCUCUUGGAUCUCUUCCAGUCAGUCGCUGGGCUACGGGCCAACUGGGCAAAGAGCGCGGCUACACCAAUAGCAUGCACGGAGGAUCAGAUCGGGGAGGCAGUGGUAGAAACGGAUUGCAAGUCCAAAGCCUUCCCAAUCACAUACCUCGGCCUGCCGCUUUCGGAUACAAGAUUGAGGAGGGAGGACUUGCAGCCGGUUAUAGACAGCCUUGCAAAGAGACUGAGAGGAUGGAAGGUCAAGCUGAUCGCACUCCCGGGCAGGAUCGAAUUGGUCAAAUCGGUGCUAACUGCCAUGGCCAUCUACCGGAUCAUGGCGAUUGCGCCGCCAGUUUGGUUCCUCAAAAUGAUCGAUAGGCUGAGACGAGGCUUCCUUUGGGCGGCAGACGAGUCCUCGCCGGGCGGCAAGUGCCUCGUGAGCUGGAAGCAGGUUUGCAGGUCGCGCGAGUUUGGUGGCCUUGGGGUGCACGAUCUGCAGCGCCAAGGGGCCGCACUCCGCGCUCGCUGGUACUAG
rnacentral:rRNA from 1 species